rnacentral:misc_RNA from 1 species
GAUGAAGAACGUAGCAAAAUGCGAUACUUGGUGUGAAUUGCAGAAUCCCGUGAACCAUCGAGUUUUUGAACGCAAGUUGCGCCCGAAGCCUUUUGGCCGAAGGCACGUCUGCCUGGGCGUCACGCAUCGCGUCGCCCCCCACAAUUCUCCGUAAAGGGAACAUGUGUUUUGGGGGCGGAUAUUGGUCUCCCGUGCUCAUGGCGUGGUUGGCCGAAAUAGGAGUCCUUUCGAUGGACGCACGAACUAGUGGUGGUCGUAAAAACCCUCGUCUUUUGUUUCGUGCUGUUGGUCGCAAGGUAAACUCUUUAAAAACCCCAAUGUGUCGUCUCUUGACGACGCUUCGACCGCGACCCCAGGUCAGGCGGGACUACCCGCUGAGUUUAAGCAUAUCAAUAAGCGGAGGA